UACGGAGGGUGCGAGCGUUGUCCGGAAUCACUGGGCGUAAAGAGCGCGUAGGCGGCCAGAUAAGUCCGGUGUGAAAGUCAAAGGCUCAACCUUUGAAUGCCGCUGGAAACUGUCUGGCUAGAGUCCGGGAGGGGCGAGUGGAAUUCCUGGUGUAGCGGUGAAAUGCGCAGAUAUCAGGAGGAACACCGAUGGCGAAGGCAGCUCGCUGGGACGGUACUGACGCUGGAGACGCGAAAGCGUGGGGAGCAAACAGG
rnacentral:rRNA from 1 species